rnacentral:rRNA from 1 species
UACGUAGGGUGCGAGCGUUAAUCGGAAUCACUGGGCGUAAAGCGCGCGUAGGCGGUCUGUUAAGUGGGAUGUGAAAUCCCCGGGCUUAACCUGGGAAUUGCAUUUCAAACUGGCCGACUAGAGUACGGUAGAGGGAGGUAGAAUUUCCUGUGUAGCGGUGAAAUGCGUAGAUAUAGGAAGGAAUACCAGUGGCGAAGGCGGCCUCCUGGAUCGAUACUGACGCUGAGGCGCGAAAGCGUGGGGAGCAAACAGG